UAUAUGAAUAUAAUAUCAAAUAAUAUUUAAAAUAUCAGUUUAUUUUUUAAAAUCAACAUUUCGGGAGAAUAAACAUUAAGUAUUUUUUUUUUUAAAUCUAAAACAUUGUAUAAUAUUUAAUAUUUAUCUUUAAUUGGAAAUUAAUAUUGAUAAUUCCUAAAUUAAUUAUGUUAUGACUAAUAUAUUUCUUAUUUCUUUAAAAGCUAUGAAUAUAUUUUAAAAUAUCAAUAGAACAAUAUCGGAUAUCGUGUUUUUAACCAAUAUAUUGACUUAUAGUUUUCAAACAUUCAUUUAUCGAAUAUCGGAAAAAAGUCAUGUUGGUUCCAUGGUUCAUCACUUAAAUAAAUAUGUACAAAUUGCCUUCCUAUGUAGAAUUUAGCAAUAGUUUAUAUAACUGUUAUUAGUAACUUCUUCACUAAAAUAUAACAUGUAGAUUUAAGUAACGUAGAUAUAGAUAAUAUAAAUUACAAUUACAAUUACAAUAAUUUUGCCCCUAUUUUUAAAUGCAUUAACAUCUUUUGAAAACUAAAUAAAACUAUUAUUUAUCUUCAAAUGUUUACCCUUUUCUUUAAUUAUCUAUUAUCUAUUGGAUUGAUCAAUGCUUAAAACUAGUUCAAAAAUGUUAGAACCACUUCAUAACUUGUAAAAUUAAAACCACCAUACAACAAGUAGGUUUAUUGUUAUUCAACUAAUAGUACUUUAUUACUAUUAGAUAGCGACGACUUAUAUACUACCUCGGCGCAUAAUAGUUAUUGUAAUCUAACUUAGGCCUAGUUUUGAAUUUCAAUACCAUAAUAUUUUGACAUUUCUGAACCGUUAAGAACCCAUUUUUAGAUACAUUUAUUACCUACUCAUUAAUAAUGUACUAGUACUAUAAUCUGUAUUUUGUAAUACAUUUUUAUUUGCGAUUAAAUAAGAUAUAUAUACGUUGAAAAGCAUCUAGUAUGCGCCCAAACAAAAUAGUAUCAGUGCUAUAAUAGAAGUCAAAAUAAACUAUAUUUUGUUGAUGAUAUAAAAUAAUUUAAAUAUUAUAUUAUCAGUCGAUUAAUUAAACAAGCUUUUUAAAAAGAUUUACUAUUUUCUCCAAAUUAUUGUGGCCAAUCUUAUAAUAAUAGGAAAGACAAACAAUUUCAAAAAUUAUUUGAAUAAUUAGUCAAUAAUUUUAUCUUAAAAUUUGUCAAAAACCAUUCAGAACUAAGCAAAAUUAUUUGGCCAUUUAGCCCAUUAUGUAUUCGGUUUUCAUUAAUUUAUAUUUUAAAUAUAAAAUGGAAUUUUAUUUCAUAUUUUUAAAGAAGUAUUUUAAUUUUAAUCAUACAAUAGUUAAUAAAAUCCAAUAGUCUUAUCAGAGAGAUAUACGCAAAAAACCACGUUAAAAACAAAAUUUAGCGCUUUUGCAUUAAUAAAACAACUAUAUUUUUUUGACGAUAUAAAGGAAUUUGUAUGUUACAGUUUCAGUUAAUUACACGAAUAAGACUUUUGAAAAAGAUCCAUUGUUUUGUCCAAAUGGUUGUGGCCGAUCAUAUAAAGAGAAUGCCAUGAUGGAAUUAUUAAAUAAAGUAUGUGAAAAUAAUCCAGUCUUCUGUCCAAAUGGUUGUGGUCAUUCGUAUAAUGGUGAAUAUCGCAAACACAAUCUUAAAAAACAUUUGAUAUAUUCAUGUGGAAAAAAUCCACAAUUUCCUUGUACAUUCUGCUAUAAAACAUUCCGGCAUAAUCAAUCGUUAAAAUAUCAUUUAUCGACUGUUCAUUAAGAAAAUAUACUAUGAAACAAAAAUAGUUAUGUAAUAUAAACUUUGUAUUUGGAA